UUCAAUGUGUUUGCACUUAUUAAAACAAACAAGUACUGUGAAAUCUUUGUUUAGUUAAGUUAUGAAUUAUUUGCUUAUUUUGUUCCCUCUUUGUGCAGCUGCCGAUAUUACAUAUUCAUAGUUGCGGCUCAGACCAGCUUGUGUCACUCAAAUAAGUGGUGCUGGUAAAUUUAAUUAAAGGAGUUAAUAUUGUUUUUGCUGUGAUCUGACAUGGCUGUUCCACCUAAACGGCCAGGAGGAUGCUGGUGCCCAGACUCGUGUUGGGAGGCUGCAGGAGGAGUGCGGUGAGCGCAGUCCACGGUGCCCAUCACCAGGGAAGUACAGCGGGGCUGGGCACUGUGCCCACAGAGGGUGCACUGCUCCUAUUGCCUUGGCAUAGGAAAAACAGGCAGUGAACGCAGAGCUGCAUCUCCCCCAGGAGCACAGCUUAAGGAGAUGAAAGCUUUCUUAGCAAGUCCACAUGUGUACUUACUGGCUUGGGGGGUUGUCUUUAACCACGUGUCCCUUGGACACAGGUGUUGCUUUUUUUCAAAAUUGGUCCUGCAGCAGAGGGUAGGGAUGCACCUUCUGACAAACCUCCGGUGGUGUCACUUGAUGCGACGUGAAACGCUGAUUUGA
rnacentral:lncRNA from 1 species